rnacentral:rRNA from 1 species
UACGUAGGGGGCUAGCGUUGUCCGGAUUUAUUGGGCGUAAAGAGCGUGUAGGCGGCCAGAUAGGUCUGCUGUGAAAACUCGAGGCUCAACCUCGAGAUGUCGGCGGAAACCAUUUGGCUAGAGUCCGGAAGAGGAAAGUGGAAUUCCUGGUGUAGCGGUGAAAUGCGCAGAUAUCAGGAAGAACACCCGUGGCGAAGGCGGAUCUCUGGGCCAUUACUGACGCUGAGGAGCGAAAGCGUGGGGAGCGAACAGG